UACGGAGGGGGCAAGCGUUGUUCGGAAUUACUGGGCGUAGAGGGCGCGUAGGCGGCCUUCUAAGUCGAACGUGAAAUCCCCGGGCUCAACCCGGGAACUGCGUCCGAUACUGGAAGGCUUGAAUCCGGGAGAGGGAUGCGGAAUUCCAGGUGUAGCGGUGAAAUGCGUAGAUAUCUGGAGGAACACCGGUGGCGAAGGCGGCAUCCUGGACCGGCAUUGACGCUGAGGCGCGAAAGCCAGGGGAGCAAACGGG
rnacentral:rRNA from 1 species